AGGAGUGAAGUAAUAUACAGCGAAAGUUUAUAUAAAUAAAAUAGUUAUGCUUCGAUUAAUAUAAUUAAUCAAUCGCCUUAAUAAAACUGAGUUGAAACACCAUUGAAUUAACUACAUUUAAAAGAAUGAAUGCUGAUAUAUGGAUAACUCGCAGGAUGUGUCUUGAAGAAGAGUGAAAAUUUUAGCAUAUACAGGUCAGCUUUCUCACAGCUUUCUCACUGUUCACAUUGACCAAUAAGGCCUUUAAAACUGCAUAUUGGAAGCUUCUGAUCAACUAAGACCUUAAUUGAUAACACCACAAUAUGUAUGCAGGAACCAUUAUUUUUAACACAUCAAUGCAAAGGCUAACGACUAGAACUUGGAAGGAAUCGUUUUAUAUUUAUUUAAAGUGAAUACGAAAUUGCUAAUACAACUUAAAAUUCCAGUGACCUUUGUAUUAUUUCAUGAAGAGUAGAUUGAAACUACUGAUGUACUUUGUUGAGACAAAGUGUUUUAUACAAGCCUUCCGAUAUUCGGAUUACAGAGAAAUUUCUACACUCCAUGCUAAUAAAAGGAUAAGCUCUAUUUAACAGACAUGUUUUUCAAUCAUUAUUUAUAUCCAAAAAUGUUCUUUAAAGAGAAACAGAGUUUUUAACAGAACACAGUUUCCAAUUUCGUCACUGUACUCUUAACAGAACUUUCCAAUAUGUGUUGAC